GAGAGGGGCGGGCCUCUCUGUGAGCGGACCCACCCGGAAGCUGGACGGCCGUUAGUCCACCAGCCGCCGCUGAUGGCUUUUUAGGUGUUCUUUCCUCAGGCCACGGCAGCUUUUGAAUAUCCCAGUGCUUCUCAACUGGGGGCAGCUUUGUUCCCCAGUGGACGUUUGGCAAUGAUUAGAGAUGUUUUGUUUGUCAUAAAUGGGUUAUGGCAGGAGCUACUGGCAUCUGCUGGAUAAAGGUCAGGAAUACUGCUAAGCAUCCUACUUUCUAUAAGAUGAGCCUCUUUAACAAAGAAUGAUCCACGACAGCGUGUCAUAUUAGGGUGGCUGAGAAAUCCUGGAGUGGUGUGACACAGUCUAAGCAAUUAGUCUCUGGACUACGGUGGGUCAAAGGACUGGUGUCCAUUUGCUCACAGGAGAUGGUGGCCGCUUCUGGCAUCCUUCCCUCUUCUAGGGACACAUGUUCUGCCAUCCAGGAAGCGCUAACAUGUCCCCUGCCUGUGUUUCAGGGCACAGGAGAGCGCCAUCUCAAACUGCUGUUUUACCUUCAGUGGCCUUUUCCUGUGUACAACCUCCUGGGAUAAAGCCUUAAACAUAUGGACUGUCUACGCAGGAGAGUUUCGAAACCGUGGCGCCUGUGUGACUCUGAUGCAGGGCCACGAAGGCUCCGUGAGCUCCUGCUGCUUUGCCAGAGACAGUGAGUGAUGAACCCGUGCCAGGCUCUGUUCUCCAAGGCUGCUGGGUGGAGUUCUUCAUAUUCCAUUCAUAUGGACUUUCCUAAGAUCAGACCGGCGAUUUCCAGUGAAGGAGGAUUUUUUUUUUUUGCAGUGAGGACAAAACAAAUCAUAGGCACAAGUUUGUUUAUAAGCAAUGGAAACUCAACUCAACAUGGGUCAAGUAACAAAGGAAAAUUAUUAACUCUCAUAAUGAAAAGUUCAGAUGCAGGUGUGACUUCAGGCAAGGCUGGAUGAAUUUCUUCUUUUUUUUUUUUUUGAUGAAUUUAUUCUUUGAACAAACUUUUUUUUUCUUGGUACUGGGGAUCGAACCCGGGUCCUCAGCUUUCAAGGCAGGUGUGAACAAACAUUUAUUGGGCAACUGGGGAUACAACCCUGAAGAGUAAAAUCCUCACCCUGUAGCAGCUUAAAUUCUAGGAGAAGAGACAAGCCCAGUGUAAAGAGACAGGAAGAUGUGUAGUAAGUCCCAUAGUGACAGUAAUUUGAAGACAACUGACACAGGAAAGGGGUGGGAGUGUUGGGGUUUGCGGUAUUUAAAGGGUGGCCAGGAUGGGACCCGCUAAGAAGGUGACCCGUGCGCAGCCUGGAAGGUGGUAGAAGGUGAGCCAUGCAGAUGUUUUGGGAAGGACCUCCCUCCGUGGGAACAGCCUGUGCGGGACCCCUGGGGCAGUGAGCCUGGCUGGCGUGGCUAGGAGUGCAGUGAAUGCGGAGGUGUGGCGGAGACGAGGCAGCACUGUGUGUCCGGAGCAGAAAUGGUCAGACACAGCUGGACACCACAUGAGCUCCUCUGGUCCAGCUGCAGACCCCCGGCCAGGCCCCCUGGGCCCCAUUCCUGUGCGGGAGGCUCAGGAACUCUCAUUUCUCUAGGGCGAGUGGAAAGCAGAUGAGACAGCUGAGCUAGGCCAUCCCCAUCCUCUCUUCUGUGCGCUGUGGCCAGAGGCAGGCCCAGGACCCAGGGGGAUGCUGAGCACUCGCAUUAGCCAAGUAGAAACCCGUUUUGUUCAGAAAUUGUGCCUGCCUGCUUCUCUUGGUUCUAUAAAAGUCAGGUGUCCCCAGCAUGUCAAGGUGUCAGAAUGUUUCCUCAGCCCUACAAUUCCACUCUGCACAGAGCAGUGGACAGGGAUGCACACUCACCCCUGUCUUCCCACCACCAAGUGGCUGCCCUCAAGCCUACCCUCCAUACUGCUCAGGCUUGGAGGGGAAGAGGGAACAGAAGCCUGCCCAAACCCACUGGCAUGCCGGGUCCAUUCUGGAGGACUAGGGACUCCAGAGAAGAAGCCCUUGCCUCGGCCCAGCCAUGGAAGCUGGGUUGAGCUGGGGGUUGGGUGGGGAAUUUCACCUUCAUCCCAUGAAUCUCCUCUGACCACCAUCUCCUUGCUCCUGUCUUAAAAUAUUUCAUGUCAGUUUUUAAGGAUGUGACAGGUCUUUCUCUGCCUUCGAACGUGACAGCUCCUCUGAAGUAUUCACCAGAUGUGUACUCUCCCAGAGAGAGGCAAGGGGCUCACCACUGGAGGCUUCACUGUCAUCAGAGGGGGAGAGCAAGGAGGACUGAUGGCUACCAGGCCCUUGGGGCCUUCUGUCCUGGUGUUCAUUCUGUCUCGUGUUUGGAACACAGUAUGCGCUCACGUUCUGGAGUGCACAGCUGUCCUGUGAGGUGGCCCCAGAGGGAUGGCACUGGCACUUCCUGAGGACAGGUUUGCCAAAUGCGUAUGAAGUCACGUGAGGCUCCUCUGUGGGCGAUGGCAACCCAUUGUGGCUGCUAUGGUUUGGCUAUGGUUUGUCCCGUUUGUGAGCUGGAAGCUUGGUCCUCCCUGCAAUGCUACCAAGAGGUGGGGGACCUCUGUAAGGUGAAAAUAGAAGAUGGGGGCACUGCCCUGGCACAGUAUUAAUGCCAUCUCUUGGGAGUGGGUUCGCAUCAGGAGUCUGGGUUAGCUACCAGAAGAGCAGACUGUUAUAAAGUUGGGUCAUCCACAUGUUUGGUUUCUUCUGCACGUGCUGCUUGCUGUUCUUACACAUGCUUCUGCCAUGUGAUGCCAUCUGCCAUGUUAUGACACAACACGAGGCACUCAUCAGAUGAGGCCACCUGGUCUUGAACUUUCUUGCCUGCAGAUCUCUAAGCUUACUAUCCUUUUCUGUAUGAAGUAUCCAGUCUUGGGUUUUUUUGUUACAGCAACACAGAACCAACUAAGAUACUGCUAAUUUUCCCAGGUAGCCACCUGCCCAGCACAGAGGAAGGUCUGAUUAGACAAGGGGUGGUACUGGCAUUUUCAUCACAGGAUGCUUCAUGAUCUCUAC
ensembl:lncRNA